rnacentral:pre_miRNA from 1 species
AGUGAAAUAGCUGGGUCAAAUUAUAAUUCCAUUCCCUGUUUUCUAAGGAAUCUCCAUACUACUUUCCAUAUUGGUUGCACCAAUUUGCAGUCCCUCCAGCAAU